AGUGAACGCUGGCGGUAGGCCUAACACAUGCAAGUCGAACGGCAGCACAGUAAGAGCUUGCUCUUACGGGUGGCGAGUGGCGGACGGGUGAGGAAUACAUCGGAAUCUACUUUUUCGUGGGGGAUAACGUAGGGAAACUUACGCUAAUACCGCAUACGACCUACGGGUGAAAGCAGGGGAUCUUCGGACCUUGCGCGAUUGAAUGAGCCGAUGUCGGAUUAGCUAGUUGGCGGGGUAAAGGCCCACCAAGGCGACGAUCCGUAGCUGGUCUGAGAGGAUGAUCAGCCACACUGGAACUAAGAAACGGUCCAAACCCCUACGGGAGGCAGCAGUGGGAAAUAUGGAACAAUGGGCGCAAGCCUGAUCAAGCCAUACCGCGUGGGUGAAGAAGGCCUUCGGGUUGUAAAGCCCUUUUGUUGGAAAAAAAAAGAAGCAGGUUAAUACCCCGCUGUUCUGACGGUACCCAAAGAAUAAGCACCGGCUAACUUCGU
rnacentral:rRNA from 1 species